rnacentral:rRNA from 1 species
UACGUAGGUGGCAAGCGUUGUCCGGAUUUACUGGGCGUAAAGAGCGCGCAGGCGGUCGUGCAAGUCGCGUGUGAAAGCCCCCGGCUCAACUGGGGAGGGUCACGCGAUACUGCUCGACUCGAAGGCAGGAGAGGAAGUGGAAUUCCCGGUGUAGUGGUGAAAUGCGUAGAUAUCGGGAGGAACACCAGUGGCGAAGGCGACUUCCUGGCCUGUUCUUGACGCUGAGGCGCGAAAGCUAGGGUAGCAAACGGGAUUAAGA